GGAAUCUUGGGCAAUGGGGGAAACCCUGACCCAGCAACGCCGCGUGAGGGAUGAAGGCCUUCGGGUCGUAAACCUCUGUCGGGAGGGAAGAACCAUUCCGGGUCGAACAGGCCCGGGAUCUGACGGUACCCCCAAAGGAAGCGCCGGCUAACUCCGUGCCAGCAGCCGCGGUAAUACGGAGGGCGCAAGCGUUGUUCGGAAUCAUUGGGCGUAAAGCGCGUGUAGGCGGCUUGGCAAGUCGGGUGUGAAAGCCCGGGGCUCAACCCCGGAACUGCACUCGAAACUGCCUCGCUAGAGUCCCGGAGAGGAAGGCAGAAUUCCCGGUGUAGAGGUGAAAUUCGUAGAUAUCGGGAGGAAUACCAGUGGCGAAGGCGGCCUUCUGGACGGCGACUGACGCUGAGACGCGAAAGCGUGGGGAGCA
rnacentral:rRNA from 1 species